CUGGGAGUUAAAUGAGGUGCCCAAGGUCACAGAGCUGGAGUGGCGGUGGGCAGGAGGCAGGAAGCACCAUGACUGUGGAAGAUGCAGACCCAACUGGCUCUCUGGCUCAGCUUCUGGGAGCUGACCCUGGGCUUUCGAGGACAAUGCCAGCAGCUGGGACAGAGGUGAAGUCACUGUCACCAAGCCAUCAUCUGUCAAGGCUCCCCAGCCCCAUCCUGAGCUUACACGGCCCCCUGACCCGCCAGUCCUUAUUGCUGAGGCCAAGGGGAAGGAGAGAGAGAGACCUGGGCUAAAGGCUGGUGGGAGACACAGUCAGAAGAGAGAGAAGUGGAGCAGCAAAACCUGCUGAGGA
ensembl:lncRNA